rnacentral:rRNA from 1 species
UACGGGAGGCAGCAGUGAGGAAUAUUGGUCAAUGGCCGAGAGGCUGAACCAGCCAAGUAGCGUGCAGGACGACGGCCCUACGGGUUGUAAACUGCUUUUGCGGGAGGAUAAAGUGCGCCACGCGUGGCGCUUUGCAGGUAUCCCGUGAAUAAGGACCGGCUAAUUCCGUGCCAGCAGCCGCGGUAAU